rnacentral:ncRNA from 1 species
GCCUAUCAAGUCUUGACAAACUCCGAAUGCGUGUCAGUUCUAUGUCAGGAGUGAGGGCAUGGGUGCUAAGGUCCAUGUCCUAAAGGAGAACAAUCCGGACCAACAGCUAAGGUCCCGAAAUGAAUACUAAGUUGAACUAACGAAGUCAGAUUGCUAAGACAGCUAGGAUGUUGGCUUGGAAGCAGCCAUUCAUUUAAAGAGUGCGUAACAGCUCACUAGUCGAGGAGUUUGGC